rnacentral:lncRNA from 1 species
GCCGGGAAAUUUUUCAACUAGUUCCUGCAUUAAUUUAUCUUAAUCUUUCGCCGAAAUGUUUGAAACGUUAAUUUUUGUUAAAAUGCACUGUCUCACUUUAUCUUAAAAAUGCACUUUCGCUUAAAAGAUUAAAGAUCUAUUUCUAAAACGUAAUAAGUUAACUGUAUGCUCAUUAUUGUAGAUCCCGUAUAUUCAUUAUUGUAGACCCA